CAGCCGCCGCGGGAAUACAGAGGAUGCAAGCGUUAUCCGGAAUGAUUGGGCGUAAAGCGUCUGUAGGUGGCUUUUCAAGUCCGCCGUCAAAUCCCAGGGCUCAACCCUGGACAGGCGGUGGAAACUACCAAGCUGGAGUACGGUAGGAGCAGAGGGAAUUUCCGGUGGAGCGGUGAAAUGCGUUGAGGUCGGAAAGAACACCAACGGCGAAAGCACUCUGCUGGGCCGACACUGACACCGAGGGACGAAAGCUAGGGGAGCAAAUGGGAUUAGAUACCCCCGUAGUCCCUGUCUCUUAUAC
rnacentral:rRNA from 1 species